CUGUGAUUGGCUGUUGCCGAAAGAGGCGGGGAGGGCUGAUUGGACGGUUUGGUCCGCCAAUCACCAUGGACAAAGGAGGAGCCUGGAAGCAAGCGCCUCUCACGCACGUGUUCGCAGGUGUUCGAACCUCCAGGCCCCAAGCCUUCCAAGGUGUGCGCCCGCUGGACGACGGUCUUCAGUAUGUCGUGCAGGACCCAGUUCCCUGACCAGGGAUCAAACCUGGGCCCCCUGAGUUGGGGUGCAGACUCUUAGCCAGUGGACCACCAGGCAAGUCCCACGCCCUCUUAUCUUCGUAACCUAGAACUGUCACUGCCUCUGCAACCCAAACCUCAGGUCCCAGUGGCCCAUGGAUGCAGGAUCCGGCUCUGCCUCCCAAACUAGAAUCUUGCUGGCCUGAGACCCUGACCUUGGCCACUUGACAGGCAUGGCUGUCCUGCUCCGCUCAGGCCCUCCCCACAAGAGCCUCACCUGUGCCAUCCGGAGACAAUGUCAUAACUCAGAGAAAUGAUGGGGAUUUCAGAUGCUUGAUAUGCUGGUGCGUGCUAAGGUGCUUCAGUCGUGUCCAACUCUUUGCGACGCUAGAGACUAUAGCCGCCAGGCUCCUCUGUCCAUGGGAUUCUCCAGGCAAGAACACUGGAGUGGGUUGCCUUUUCCUCUUCCAGGGCAUCUUCCUGAUCCAGGGAUCGAACUCACGUCUCUUAUGUCUCCUGCAUUGGCAGGUGGGUUCUUUACCACUAGUGCUGCCGGGGAGGCCUGUGUUCUUUCUACACACCUAUAAAUACAAUCCAUUACAGCUUGGUGAUAGGCGGG
ensembl:lncRNA